rnacentral:tRNA from 1 species
GCCUGGGUGGCUCAGUCGGUUGAGCGUCCUACUUCGGCUCAGGUCAUGAUCUCACAGUUUGUGGGUUCAAGCCCCGCAUCAGGCU